UACGUAGGUGGCAAGCGUUGUCCGGAAUUAUUGGGCGUAAAGCGCGCGCAGACGGUCCUUUAAGUCUGAUGUGAAAGCCCACGGCUCAACCGUGGAGGGUCAUUGGAAACUGGAGGACUUGAGUACAGAAGAGGAAAGUGGAAUUCCACGUGUAGCGGUGAAAUGCGUAGAGAUAUGGAGGAACACCAGUGGCGAAGGCGACUUUCUGGUCUGUAACUGACACUGAGGCGCGAAAGCGUGGGGAGCAAACGGG
rnacentral:rRNA from 1 species